rnacentral:lncRNA from 7 species
AACUGAGGUGGAUACAUUUCAGGAUUUGGAGCCAGCUAUAAGCUCUGAUCUCCAUCCAUGACUCCAUCAAGUCAGAGCAGCCUGGAGUUUUGGAGCAGAAGGUUAUCAGGAUGAAGUCUGCUUCUCAUACCAUUGUGAAUGAAGUUGGUGCCUGUCUGGAUGCACAGCCACAAAUCAUUACAGAGGCAAGCAGUUAUGGUCAGAGAAACCAGAGAGGAAUUUGUUACAGUUAGCUGAAGGUGGGACAUCCAGACAUGUCAUUAAGAUACAAGAACGUUGUGGUCAAGAGCUACGAGGCAGAAGUAAGACAAAAACAAGUCAUCCCUGCCAACUGGGCGAUGCAUGUGCUUGAGGGGAGAGGUUACCAAAGGGCAGCUAAGGAAGACUAUUGAAAGGGGUCCUUGGGACCAGCAAGAGAGACUCAGGACACCUAACGCACAAGCGCAGAGGGGUGGAGAAGUAUGCAAAGAGCUUAUGGGAAACAAUACGAUUGUUGCACCUGGACCGCUUCAGAAUGCGCGUAUAGCUGCAGUCUGAAAGCAAGGCAUGAACGAUAGGUGGAGCUAUCCGCCGUGCAUCCGGUGGUUCCCGGUCGGAGUGCCUGCCUCUUCAUGCUACAUUGGUGUUAAGAAGUUUCUGAAGGCUGCAUUUUGUUACUGCGUUGUCAAUAAAAUAACUUUACUG